rnacentral:rRNA from 1 species
UUGGGAAUCUUGCGCAAUGGGGGAAACCCUGACGCAGCGACGCCGCGUGCGGGAUGACGGUCUUCGGAUUGUAAACCGCUUUUUUCGGGGACGAUAAUGACGGUACCCGAGGAAUAAGCCCCGGCUAACUCCGUGCCAGCAGCCGCGGUAAGACGGAGGGGGCAAGCGUUGUCCGGAAUUACUGGGCGUAAAGCGCUCGUAGGCGGUCGCAUACGGCGGUGGUGAAAGCUCCCGGCUCAACUGGGAGAGGCCCGCCGCAACGGUGCGACUCGAGGGUGGUAGAGGCAGAUGGAAUUCCUGGUGUAGCGGUGAAAUGCGUAGAGAUCAGGAGGAACACCAAUGGCGAAGGCAGUCUGCUGGGCCACACCUGACGCUGAGGAGCGAAAGCCAGGGGAGCGAACGGG